GACGAACGCUGGCGGCGUGCUUAACACAUGCAAGUCGAACGGAAAGGCCCUGCUUUUGUGGGGUGCUCGAGUGGCGAACGGGUGAGUAACACGUGAGUAACCUGCCCUUGACUUUGGGAUAACUUCAGGAAACUGGGGCUAAUACCGGAUAGGAGCUCCUGCUGCAUGGUGGGGGUUGGAAAGUUUCGGCGGUUGGGGAUGGACUCGCGGCUUAUCAGCUUGUUGGUGGGGUAGUGGCUUACCAAGGCUUUGACGGGUAGCCGGCCUGAGAGGGUGACCGGCCACAUUGGGCCUACGGUACGGCCCAGACUCCUACUGGGGGCAGCAGUGGGGAAUAUUGCACAAUGGGCGGAAGCCUGAUGCGGCAACGCCGCGUGCGGGAUGACGGCCUUCGGGUUGUAAACCGCUUUCGCCUGUGACGAAGCGUGAGUGACGGUAAUGGGUAAAGAAGCACCGGCUAACUACGUG
rnacentral:rRNA from 1 species